AUUGAACGCUGGCGGCAUGCCUUACACAUGCAAGUCGAACGGCAGCACGGGAGCAAUCCUGGUGGCGAGUGGCGAACGGGUGAGUAAUGUAUCGGAACGUGCCCAGUCGUGGGGGAUAACGCAGCGAAAGCUGUGCUAAUACCGCAUACGAUCUAUGGAUGAAAGCGGGGGAUCGCAAGACCUCGCGCGAUUGGAGCGGCCGAUAUCAGAUUAGGUAGUUGGUGGGGUAAAGGCCCACCAAGCCGACGAUCUGUAGCUGGUCUGAGAGGACGACCAGCCACACUGGGACUGAGACACGGCCCAGACUCCGACGGGAGGCAGCAGUGGGGAAUUUUGGACAAUGGGCGCAAGCCUGAUCCGGCAAUGCCGCGUGCAGGAUGAAGGCCUUCGGGUUGUAAACUGCUUUUGUACGGAGCGAAACGGCUUCCACUAAUACUGGGGGCUAAUGACGGUACCGUAAGAAUAAGCACCGGCUAACUACGUGCCAGCCGCCGCGGUAA
rnacentral:rRNA from 1 species